AGGAAUUUCCUCACCACAUUUCUACUCGGAAAUCACACGAAAGAUUGUGUUCAAGGCUGUGUCUUCGACGACAAUGUUGUCGUCUGACAUGCUUGCAAGGAAAGUUUAACAAACUCAGAUCGUCUCAUUUUUUAACUUCAGGCGUUGGUAGUUGAGACGCGAGAAGCUGUGUAACAUAUAGCGGCUGUUGAUAUGUCCCUUGAAUUACCACUUGUAACAGAAAACGGAUAUUAUUACAUUUUGGCAUCAAUUAGUUUAGUUGGGAUCCCUAUUCCUUUCAAA